CGACCUCACAACCCUAGUGAACGCGACAAGUAACUUCUCUGAAGACAACAAACUCGGAGAGGGAGGCUUUGGAGCUGUCUAUAAGGGUGUUCUGAAGAAUGGUCAAGAAAUUGCUGUGAAGAGGCUGUCGGAAAACUCUAGGCAGGGACAGGUCGAGUUCAGGAAUGAAGUCGCCUACAUCGCCAAACUUCAACACCGAAACCUCAUCAAGAUUCUGGGAUGCUGCAUUCAAGUAGAUGAAAUGAUGUUGAUCUAUGAGUUCCUGCCCAACCGAGGCUUGGAUUGUUUCAUUUUUGGUUUGCUUCGCUCCAGUCCCUACAUUUUAAUUGCUUUUGUCAUCGAAAAAGAGUGAAGAAGCUUCCAUUUCAUAACUCAUAAGGCCUAUAAUUUGGCAGACCAAGAGAAGGGUGUUUCCCUGGAUUGGCCAAGGCGCUUCACCAUCAUCAACCGCGUAGCUUUGGGGCUCCUAUACCUUCAUCGAGACUCAAGAUUAAGAAUUAUUCAUAGAGAUCUGAAAGCUGAAAACAUCCUGCUCGACAAUGAAAUGAAUCCAAAGAUAUCGGACUUUGGAUUGGCGAGGAGUUUCGGAGGUAACGAGAGUGAAGCGAAUACAAAGAGAGUGUUGGGAACAUUGUGAGUUCUCUUGACAAAUGAUCUCCACUUAUUUUGGUCCAAUUGCUUCAAGAACUAAUCAUUCCUUUCAAUAACUUUUUCGCAUAGUGGUUACAUGUCCCCAGAGUAUGCCAUCAACGGCUUUUAUUCAGUAAAAUCAGAUGUCUUCAGUUUUGGCAUUUUAGUACUGGAAAUCGUGAGCGGGAAAAGAAAUCGAGGUAUCAAUCAUCCUGACGAGCGUUUAAGCCUUCUCGGAUAUGCCUGGACACUGUCAAGAGAUCAAAAGUUCAUGGAGCUCGUCGAUCCAUUGAUUGCAUCCGCAUGUAACCCUGUGGAAGUUUUACGAUCCGUCCAUGUGGCUUUGUUGUGUGUUCAAAAUAAUCCGCACGAUAGACCGGAGAUGUCAUCUGUGGUUAUGAUGUUGAGCAGUGAGAACACAUUGCCUCAGCCUAAACAGCCUGGUUUUUUUUUUACGAGACAUCUGCAUCCGAAGCAAGUUCUUCAAGUGACAUCAGGCAUAAGAAAUAUUCGGCCAACGAAAUAACUAUUUCACAUUUACUGCCUCGAUGAUAUUUCUGUAAUUUCAAUUAUGUUUAUAUUGAUCCCAUAUGGAUACGAGAGGA